AUUGAACGCUGGCGGCAUGCCUAACACAUGCAAGUCGAACGAGUGGCGGACGGGUGAGUAAUGUCUGGGAAACUGCCCGAUGGAGGGGGAUAACUACUGGAAACGGUAGCUAAUACCGCAUACCAUCGGAUGUGCCCAGAUGGGAUUAGCUAGUAGGUGGGGUAAAGGCUCACCUAGGCGACGAUCCCUAGCUGGUCUGAGAGGAUGACCAGGCAAACGGGAACUUAGACACGGUCCAGACUCCUACGGGAGGUAGCAGUGGGGAAUAUUGGACAAGGGGCGCAAGCCUGGUGCAGCCAUGCCGGGUGUAUGAAGAAGGCCUUCGGGUUGUAAAGGACUUUCAGCGGGGAGGCGUUACUCGCAGAAGAAGCAUCGGCUAACUCCGUGCCAGCAGCCGCGGUAAUUC
rnacentral:rRNA from 1 species